rnacentral:rRNA from 1 species
UACAGAGACUGCAAGCGUUAUUCGGAUUCACUGGGCGUAAAGGGUGCGCAGGCGGCCAAGUGUGUGAGGCGUGAAAGCCCGGGGCUUAACCCCGGAAUUGCACCUCAAACUACAUGGCUAGAGCAUUGGAGAGGGUAGCAGAAUUCAUGGUGUAGCAGUGAAAUGCGUAGAUAUCAUGAGGAAUACCAGAGGCGAAGGCGGCUACCUGGACAAUUGCUGACGCUCAGGCACGAAAGCGUGGGGAGCGAACAGG